CGCAUCUGUGCAUGCAGCAUAUCAAUAAGCGGAGGAAAAGAAACUAACAAGGAUUCCCCUAGUAACGGCGAGUGAAGCGGGAAGAGCUCAAAUUUGAAAUCUUAAAGGGUUUCCCUUUACGAAUUGUAGUUUAAAGAAGUGUUUUCUGUUGAGGUUUUGGUAAAAGUUCCUUUGGAAUAGGACAUCAUAGAGGGUGAGAAUCCCGUAUUUGACCUUUACUUUCAACUUUGUGAUACACUUUCAAAGAGUCGGAUUGUUUGGGAAUGCAGUCCAAAAUGGGUGGUAAAUUUCAUCUAAAGCUAAAUAUUGGCGAGAGACCGAUAGCGAACAAGUACCGUGAGGGAAAGAUGAAAAGAACUUUGAAAAGAGAGUUAAACAGUACGUGAAAUUGUCAAAAGGGAAGCGUUUGACACCAGUGUUGUUUUUCUGAAAAUCAAUUAAAGAACUGUUUAUGCUAAGCUGUUUAGACUUUAUCAGCUAUCUGUUUAGUUUUGAGCUUUUCUUUAAUGCACUUUUCAGUUAACAAGUCAACAUCAAUUUCUUUUGCUGUAAAAAAGCUUGAGGAAGGUGGCUUGAGAUUCGUCUUAAGUGUUUAUAGCCUCUUGCUUAUGCAGUCGGAGAGAUUGAGGUCUGCAGCGUAGAUCCUUCGGGGCUAAAUGCAUUUGUGCUAAGUUAUAGCAUUUUAUAGACAACUUGUUGACUAUGAUUUGCCUUGUAGCUUACUCGCUUAUGUUAUUUUACCUACGCUUAGGAUGUUGAAUCUGUGCGAGACUAC
rnacentral:rRNA from 1 species